rnacentral:rRNA from 1 species
UUGGCGAAUCGAAUUUAGGUUGAAAAAAACCUUCGAUGAUUGAUUCAAAUUUCUGCUCUAUCAACUUUUUCGCAGUGUAGUGGACUGCGAAGGUUAUGACGGGUUCAGGGAGUAAGGGCUCGACUCUGGAGAGGGCGCCUUAGAGAUGGCGACCACUUCUAAGGAAGGCAGCAGGCACGUAACUUACCCAAUGUUCACAUUGAACGAGGUAGUGACGGUAAAUAUAAAUACAGAUCACCUUAAAUGGAGAUUUGUAAUUUAAAUGAGUACAAUUUAAAAAGCUUAACAAGGAUCAAUUGGAGGGCAAGUCUGGUGCCAGCAGCCGCGGUAAUUCCAGCUCCAAUAGCGUAUAUUAUAGUUGUUGCAGUUAAAAAGUUCGUUAUUGGUGAUUCCUUCAUUCACUCUACAAAAUUUGUUUGGAAAUAAUGAGGUAGGAAGAUCGUAAAAAGUCUUUCUAUCAAUUUAAAUCAUUAUUUCCCUUUUACUUUGAGGAAAUUUGAGUGUUCAAAGCAGGCAACAUUAGUUUUGCCAAUUUUUGAAAAUCACAGCAUGGUAUAAUAAAAUAUGUUCUGGAAUUCUAGAUCUAAUAACACACUUUUUGGUUUUGACUAGUUUUCUGAAAAUGAUAAAUAGAGAUAGUUGGGGGUAUUCAUAUUCGAUUGUCAGAGGUGAAAUUCUUGGAUUUUUCGAAGAUGAACUAAUGCGAAAGCAUUUAUCAAGGAUGUUUUCAUUGAUCAAGAACGAAAGUUAAGGGAUCGAAGACGAUCAGAUACCGUUGUAGUCUUAACUAUAAACGAUGCCGACCAAAGAUCAGCAGUUAUAAAAUAAUAAAAUGGAGCUAAAUCACUUUUCAAUAGCAAUAUUGAUUUAAGUGUAAUGCCCCUGCUGGAAUUUUUUGAGAAAUCAUUGAGUCUUCUGGUUCUGGGGGGAGUAUGGUCGCAAGACUGAAACUUAAAGAAAUUGACGGAAGGUUACACAAGAAGUGGAGCCUGCGGCUUAAUUCGACCCAACACGCGAAAUCUCACUAGGUUAGGACUAGCGAAGGAUUGACAGAUUGAAAGCUCUUUCUUGAUUGUUAGGGUGGUGGUGCAUGGUCGUU